GAUGACGAUUGCGUGUACACGGCGUACGUUAGAACCGGAUCGGUGCUUAAGGGCGGAACCGACUCCAAGAUCGGGAUCAAGUUGUACGACAAGUACGGCUACUACAUCUACAUUAAAAACCUCGAAGCGUGGGGCGGUUUGAUGGGAAAGGGUUACAACUACUUCGAGCGCGGCAACCUCGACAUCUUCAGCGGAAAGGCACCUUGUCUUGACGGACCCGUUUGUGCCGUCAACGUUACUUCUGACGGAUCCGGUUCGCACCACGGCUGGUACCUUAACUACGUCGAAGUCACCUCCACUGGGCCCCACAUACCCUGUUCUCAGGA
rnacentral:lncRNA from 1 species